UGUAAAUCUGAUAUCGUCGCCAUAGCUUCGUAGGUCGACAAAGAAUUAAGAGCCUGGGUCUAACGACUUGGGCUUU
rnacentral:sRNA from 1 species